rnacentral:misc_RNA from 1 species
CUGGAAUCGCAAGAUCCCCACAACCCCUGUGAACCUACCGAAACGUUGCCUCGGCGGGUGCCCGGCCCUGCGCCGGGCGCUGCGCCCGCCGGCGGCCCCCUACUCUUGUCUCUGCAGCGUGGCAUCUCAGAGUCCCAGAAAACAAGUCAA